CACAGGUUAUAAAUAAGUGAACUCUAGUGAUGACAAUGCUUCCCCGGGUUGGUUUCAUGGCACAGUUCUAAAAGUGUCAUUAAUGAGAAACCCAGAGACAAAAAAAAAUUCUUUCAUCAUGUGAGCCCAGGAAGGCUGGCUUCUGAGCUACACAGCACCUGGUGAUCAUUAUCCUGAGGCAGGCAUGUACUGUUUACAUCUGUGCUUUAGCACCUUCACUGCAAAGCAAAUUCCUCUUUUCAUCUCUACCGUGUUCCAGGCUGGGAAGCAUGUCUGUCUGCUCUGCUGUGGGAUAGCAGUGUCUUGGAUCAGGCCACACUUGGAGGACUCUGAGUACCCAUGUGCCGAGUGACUGAGAGGCGAGUGACCAGCUCAGCAGUGUUAGUCAAGAGCUCCCGGCUCAUCUUUCUGGGGAGGUUCCUAAGAAUAUCCCACAUUUCCCCUCUUGGGUGUCUUAGCAUUCUCCGCAGUUUUGUGUCUUCUACAAUAAAAGGAUAACAUUGGUUUUCUUAAAA